CAGGACUUGCAUAGCGCAGCCGCUGCGACCUGCCACCACCCAUCCGCCAUGGCUCUCCUCGUCCGUGCACCACCGCUUCUCCACCUACAGCCUUCCCCCACCACCGCGCAAGCUUUCUUCGUCCGGCAACUCGCAUCCACACCCCGCCGCCGCCCCCUCUCCGCCCGCGUCCGCGUGCGCGCCUCCAACUCCGACCCUCCGCAGCAGGUCAACCUCUCCGUCCUCCGCUUCACCCUCGGGAUCCCCGGGCUGGACGAGUCGUACCUCCCGCGGUGGAUAGGCCUCGGCUUCGGCGCCCUCGUCCUCCUCAACCACCUCCUCUCGCCGUCCCCAACCCCCGCGCAGCUCAGGUCGGAGGCUCUGGGGCUGUGCCUGGCCGCGUUCUCAGCGGCGCUGCCGUACCUCGGGCGCUUCCUAGAGGGUGCUGGUGCUUCCAGCCGUGUGCCGUUGCCUGAAGGAAGCAGGCAGGUGUUUGUGAUUCCUGAUGAUCUGUCAACGGCGCAGAAAGAGGAUAUGGCCUGGGCGACAUAUGUUCUGCUGCAGAACACAAACACCACAUCAGUGCUCAUAGCAAUUGGCAAUGUGUUGUGCAUCCGAGGAUACUGGGAUCCUCCUGCAGAUAUCUCUAAAUAUGCAAUGAUUAAUUGGUUCAAGAGUCAGAUGGAACAAGCUGGACUCAACAAUCUGAGCAGUGCUUUGUACUUUCCUAAUUUUUCUGACCAACCAUGCUGGUUUCAUCAGACACCCAGCUUGGGAAUAUUCUACCACAAGGAAUUCUUUCUGUGUUAGCACAACCAAUUGUGAGCAACCCUGAUCCAGCUAACGGCGAAUCAAGAGCUGAAGGUGUCGUCCUGUUGGCCUCCAAUGCGAAUUAUGCAUACAGUGAGAAAGAUAUGGUUUGGAUAAGAACAGUUGCAAAUAAAUUUCGACUUGCGUAAAUCAUCAACACCCAAGUUAACACUAAAAGGGGUUUAUUUGUCACUUCUUUGGAGCCAUACAUGUAGGUCGUAAGUUACUGCAUCUUGUUGGUAGGUAACAGUUGGACAAGCACAGAUGUUAUGAUUCGCUUAGUGGAUGGAUGUCUCAAGUCUGUGGUCACCAACAGCCAUAUCAAGUCUGUGAUCGGAAUGAGUACUUUGCAAGAGAAGGAGGCAGAGGCGGAACAUGCAAGUGGCGCCGUGGAGCUAGGAACUAUUAGUUGAUGGGCCUCAUAAUGCCAUUACAUGUCUAAUUAGCACAAUAACCAUCCCUUAUCCAGCUGAAGGUGUGGUCUGAAUAAGAGCGUGGUUGGUUGGUUCCUAUGGGCCGAUCUCAACGCGUCAUCAUCAUCCUGUGGCCUUGAUCUGCCUUGGCUUCUUGUGAACUCUCUGGGGCUUGAAAUCAUUUGUUCUAGAGCAUCAUCAGUUGGGCAUCCUUCCAAAGGCUUCUCCCAGGAGCCCUCUGCUGUGUUCUCUCACAAGCUUGAGAAUGCACCUAACUACUUACGUCGUCUCAUGCGGUGUUGUUUAAUGCAUGCCGUCUGAUAUGGUUGAAGCAUCAAGCUGUAUUCUGUACUGUAUGGUACCAUGUUCGCCCUGUGGCUACUGUCACGCUGGGAGAUUAAAUGGUCCACUCGUCUAUUGUGUGAA